rnacentral:lncRNA from 1 species
AGGAUAAGAGGAUUGGUUGAUACAAUCCUUUCAGGUCAGACUUCCAGGGGAGACAUCAAAAUGGACAUAAUCCCACUUACCUGAAAUAAGACAUGAAUGUAACUGCUACUACUUGUGCAGAGGUCCACCUGGCAAUACUGCAGGCCCAUCUGGGCAGCAUUCAAAGAAACGAGGGCUAAUGGCUGGCAUGUAGGAAUCAGUUCCUCAGAGCAAUCAUGGUAAUAAAAUAAAGUUGAACUCUGUCUAAAUGCAGUUCUUUGUAAAUAUGUCUUUUCUCUGGCUGCUUUUAAGAGCUUCUUUUUAUCUUUGAUAAUAUGAAAUUUGAUUAUGAUGUACUUUGGUGAGAGUUUUUUUUGUAGUUUUAUUUUUUUAUUUUUUGCGUGGGGCCCUUCAGGCGUCCUGGAUCUAUGGAACAGCACACCACAUCACAUAUCAUAUCACUUUCGGAAAAUUCUUAGCUAGUAUCUUCUCCCCAUUCUCUUUUCUGUCCUUCUGGAACUUUAAUAUUAAAUCUCCUCUUUUUUUUUUUUUUUUUUUAGCUUGUCUGUGAUAUUUCCCAUUUAUUUUGUGUCUUCGUACUAUAGUCUGUGUAAUUUCUUCAGAUAAUUCUCAGUACACCAAUACUCUCUGCCUGCACCUAAUCUGUUGUUCAGUCCAUCCAUUGAAUGUUGUUUUCAUUUGUUUUGUGUGAGGGCAGUGGGAGGGGUGAGCGUACAAUUGUUUCUUUUGAAAUCUACCUAGUCAGUUAACAGUCUCUUCCUGGUAUGUAAUUCUGAUUUCCUAAUUUCUUCCUCAAACUUCUAAAUCAUUUAUAUUCUGCAAAC